GUUUAGAGCUGCUCUAUUUUUUCCUUUAUGCCACUUAAUAAAAGAAUAGUACCUUUGGGGAUAUUCCUUUAUAAUUUAUAAAUUAUUUUCAUGCUCAUUCUCUCAUCUCUGAAUAGCCCCUGAAAAGGAGACUGCUGUGGAGUAAAUACCUCAUUUCAGUGAUUUUUUGGAUUUUCCCCUUACAUCUGUGCUUUUGUGACUUGGCUGGAAAUAUCAGAGCAACUGACAGAGGCCACAUAGUGUCUCUAGACAAGGAGACUGAGAAAAGACAAAAGAAACAUUAAAAAACAAAAUUAACAAUAAAAACAAAAGCAGACUUUACAGAAGGAAGAAAGCUGGGCAAAUGUCCAGGCUCUGCACAUGUUGCAUCAGCUUCAGAAAGAAAUCCUCUCGGCCAAAGCACGUGGAGUCAGAAUCUUUGCCAAUGGGCUGCACAAAUGAGGAUUUGGAUGUACAAAUGGCAUUGCCUAAUCUUUAAUAAAUGAAAUAAAUGUGACUGUAUGUCCUACAUCCCAUUCCUGUUGUCUUCCAUGUCUCCUCAGAGGCACUGCAGCAAGUGAUUAAGAUGGAGAAGGCCCACCCUCUACUAGAACUUAUAUCUUAGUGGAGGGACAGAUAGUAAACAUACACAAUAAUUUAAAACAAUAAUACAUUCAAUGAAGGCUCGAAAAUAAUGCUGACACUACUACUACUACUGCUACUACUACAGCUACAAUACUAAUAAUAGUGAUUGUGCCUGCAGCCUGGCCUGUUGCCCACAGCGGUCUACCUGCCACACUGGGAAAGAUCGAGCAGAGACAGAGAAGAAAAGGAGGCUGCAUUUUUCAGGCUGCUCUCCCACAGGCUCAUGUUUUGUGUUCAUGCCAGGCAGAGAACACAAAAUGUUCCAAUAAAUAAGUAUCAAAGGUUAGUGGUGAAAAUGAAGGAGGAGGAGGCAUUGCGUGAAAAACUAAACAUGCAAAAUAUUACACACAAAGAGAACCAAAAUGCAGGUUCACUGGAAAUGACAGACAACAUGUUAAAACAAGAGGAGAGAAGAGAGCUGAAAUAAUCAAAUGGAAACACACAAUUUAGGGCUAAGAUCUUGUUGUGUUCAGCCACAAAUGAUGGCCAGCAGUGAGGAAUCUGUGUGUUCUCCACACUCUUCGCUCCUGGGAAGUCAACUCACAUGAACCAUGAUAUCAAUAUCUGCUCCUUCCCCUAGUAUCUGUUUGACCUGGGGUCAGUUACUUAAACUUCCUAAGCCUUAGUUUCUUUGUCUGGAAAAUAGGGAUAGUUAUCCCUACCACACAACCACUUUGUAAUGAAUAUGUUGGAAAUUAUAUGCAAAUUGGCUUCCGUUGGUGUUCGGAACAUAGUAGGUUUUUAACUGGAAUAUAAUAGCUACCAUUAUCAGUAUCAUCAUAUUAAUUUAUAUUUCCAUCUUCAGCCCUUAACCCAGGAUCUUCAGUAAAUGUUGAAUUCUCAAAUUCGUUAAAUUCACUUGUCUAUUCUAAUAUUUUACUCUAGGUUUCUUAGAAUAUUCUAGAUAAUAUUAUUAUGUAGAAUAUGUUAUGUAAGCUUCAUCUUAUCUGUAGAUAUAGUUUUACUUUUUCCUUUCUAAUUUUUAUGUCGAUUACUUCUUUUUCUUGGCUUAUUGAAUUGGCUAGGAUUCCCAUACAGUGUUGAAUACGUGCAGCAAGACUGCACAUCUUGCCUUGUUCCUGGUCCCACAGAGAGAAUAUCCAGUACUUCACAAUAAGUAUGUGUUAAUUGUAGAUUUUAUUAGAUUGAGGAAGUUCCCUUUCCUUUCAAGUCAGUCUUUUUAUUUUAAACAUGUAUUGAAGUUUUGUCAAAUGUCUUCAUCUAUUGGAAUAAUUAUACAUAUCUCUUUUUUAUUCUGUUAAUAUUACAUUUCAAUCUUCUAUCUACCUAGAAUCCCUAGAAUAAUCUCCAUUUGGCUAUGAUGUGUUGUGCUUUUAUAUAUUACUGAAUUCUAUAUGCCAAUAUUAUUAAAAUUUUCUGUCUUUAUGAGAAAUAUUUGAAUGUAUAUUUUUUUCAUGUAUUUGUUUUGAUUUUGUUUUCAACACCAUUUUGUAAAAG